UACGAAGGGGGCUAGCGUUGCUCGGAAUCACUGGGCGUAAAGGGCGCGUAGGCGGCCAUUCAAGUCGGAGGUGAAAGCCCAGGGCUCAACCCUGGAAUUGCCUUCGAUACUGUCUGGCUAGAGACCGGAAGAGGUAAGUGGAACUGCGAGUGUAGAGGUGAAAUUCGUAGAUAUUCGCAAGAACACCAGUGGCGAAGGCGGCUCACUGGCCCGGAACUGACGCUGAGGUGCGAAAGCGUGGGGAGCAAACAGG
rnacentral:rRNA from 1 species